AUGGGGAUGGAUAAAUACAACAGGCAGCUGAACAGUAAAGGAGCAAUUCUGAAGACAGAGACAAGUAGAGACAAAGAAAGUCAGAAGAACUUUGUAACUGAGAAAAGUCAUAAGGUGUCUGCAAUACUUGCAUUGUCCACACAUCAUAACCACAACUGAUGACAACCCUAUAAUCCUGAACUGUACGUAUUGUAAAUUGUAGUGCAUUAUAGCAAUGUGAACUGUAUCUGUUGACUGAAGAUAAUCUCCCUGAUACAUAGCACAAGAAGUGCCUGACAGGAUCUUAGAGAAAGUUAUUUUACCACCUUCUCUAAUCUUCACAUUACAAACCAACACAAGACUGCAAGCUCUCUGCUUGCAUGCUCACAACUGCAAAGAGCAUUUAAAAAAGGCAUGGAUAACAAUAAUACUGCUACUGUGGUAGAGAGAAAAGUGAGCUUAUUCUUCUGUUAUUAGCUCUUGUGAGGAUACCUUAGUUUCUAUUAACAGUAUGAGCUAUGUAUGUUGUCAAACAGGGAUGGUCCUCUCUUUUAUACACGUAUUACAUGUUUUAUCUCUGAAGGACACAGGCAUUUUUGCAUGACACUAUGCUAUCUUUCUGCAAUUCUUGUAAUUAGCAAA
rnacentral:lncRNA from 1 species